UACGAAGGGGGCUAGCGUUGCUCGGAAUCACUGGGCGUAAAGCGCACGUAGGCGGAUUUCUAAGUCAGGGGUGAAAUCCUGGAGCUCAACUCCAGAACUGCCUUUGAUACUGGGAUCUCGAGUCCGGGAGAGGUGAGUGGACUGCGGAGUGUAGAGGUGAAAUUCGUAGAUAUUCGCAAGAACACAGUGGCGAAGGCGGCUCACUGGCCCGGUACUGACCGCUGAGGU
rnacentral:rRNA from 1 species